AUUAUGUGAAUACGGCGGCCAUCAUCGUGUUUUACGUGAAUGAAGCCUAACCAUAAUUUCUGUAAAAAUGGUUGGCAGGUGUGCUGUUCCUGGUUGUAAAACAACAUAUUACAAAGGAAAUCAAAAAGAAAAUGAUGGAUUGAAAUUUUGAACGUGUUCCAUCCUUUCAAACGUAGGAUUCUUAAUGCUGGAGCAAUUCCCAAACAUUUUCUGAUAAAUGUGGAAGCAAAUGCUAGCAAUGCAUCAGCAAGGAAACGACCAAAAGUAGACAAAAUACCUACUACGUCAAAGAGAAAAAAAUUGGACAGUACAGCACCCUCCAUGGAAGUUACCUCUACUAUUGAAGAAUCAAUCAACAUUCCCCAGGCAAGA